UACGUAGGGUGCGAGCGUUGUCCGGAAUUAUUGGGCGUAAAGGGCUCGUAGGCGGUCUGUUGCGUCGGGAGUGAAAACUCAGGGCUUAACCCUGAGCCUGCUUCCGAUACGGGCAGACUAGAGGUAUGCAGGGGAGAACGGAAUUCCUGGUGUAGCGGUGAAAUGCGCAGAUAUCAGGAGGAACACCGGUGGCGAAGGCGGUUCUCUGGGCAUUACCUGACGCUGAGGAGCGAAAGUGUGGGGAGCGAUCCGG
rnacentral:rRNA from 1 species